AAAAGACUUUAACACCGACCCUAGAGACUUGUAACCCCUGGAAGGGUCUGACAUAGCACCUCCAAAACUAGUGGAUAUUAGUGGGUUGGCUUGACAGAUACAUUUUUUAGUUUCCAUUAUUUACUAUCUGAGGAGGACUUCGAAGUUAUACAGGAUCACCCGGCGCUGAUCGGAACAUGAGGAGCAGAACAAUGGAGGGUUCAGGAGAUUCUUCAACCAGAAAAGUCGGGAACAGGAAACACAAGGUUCUAUCACGCUUCCUAUCUGUGAAGUGCCACAGCUGGCAGAAGAGAUGACAUGUUGAAAAGAAAAAUCAAACAGUUGUAAACUCUCCGCUA